rnacentral:lncRNA from 1 species
UCCGAAUUUAAACUAACAUAGAAACUCAAAGUCUCAACCGCGUAGCUGAGAUUCGAAAACCUGACUACUAUGUCACUGGUGGUCUAGUAAGACAUUUCUGCAUUUUCUAAAAGAAAAAUCCAUAAGCAAAUUUCCUUAAAUUAAUUAAACUGGGUACUUAAUUUAUAGCCAAUAUUGUACACUAGCAAAGCCAAUAGUAUAGUCAUGUAAGGGCAGAAGAGAUCUAGCAGCACAAUUCAGUUAAGGGAAUGUCUGCGUCUUGACGUAUGUGGAGGUAGAUAAGGCCGUUUUUGGCCAUACAUAUUUACCUUUUUUGUGAUGCCUUCGGGGUUAAGUAAAAGCUAGUUAUUUUAGGGAUAGGAUUAAGUCCAGGGCUAAGAUGGUGUUAGAGUAAUUUUGUGUUUUGGUUGAAAAUUGAAUUUAUUUCAGAUAUAAGCAAAACAAUAUUUGGUUAGAGUAAGUAGAGUAAAAAGGAUAGUGGGUAGUUAUAAAUAGAAAAAUAAUGAUAUUGCCCCAAUUAUUAUAUUUGAAUUUAAAUUUAAAAUUUACAUAAUUAAAAAUAAUAGUUUAAAAUUUAAAAUUUAAAAUUCAAAAUUAAAAUAUAUUUUUUUAAAUCUCAAAUUUAAAAACUUAAAGUUACAAAUAUAAAAUAUUAAAUUUAAAAUUUAAAUAAUUAAAAAUAAUAAUUUUAAAAUUUGAAUUUUUUAAAAUAAAUAUUAAUUUUAAAAUUUAAAAUUAUAAUUUUUAAAUUUAAAAUUUAAAAAUUAAAAUUUAUAUUUAUAUUUAAAAAUAAAAUAGGGGUGGGACUAACUUAAUCCCAUCCUUAUUCCUGGGUUGGGGUGGGGUUAACUAACCCUAACCCCCAAAAUUCUUGUUUGGGGUUAAAGGGGGGGGGGUAACCCCCUUAUCGUCCCCCCUUUAACCCCGAACCAAACGGGGUGUUAAAAGCAUUAGAAAAUUCAUNUUAAAAAUAUCAAAUUUAAAAUUUAAACUUUAAAAUUUAUAAUUUUAAAUUAUAAAUUUUAAUUUUGAGAUUAUAAAUUUUAAAAAUUUAAAUUUUAAUUUAAAAUAAAAAUCUCUCUCUCUCUCUCUCUACCCGGCGGGGUGGGAACAGAACAAGCUUGUUCCCACCCAUACCUAGUACAACCCGGUAUGGGUGGGAACAAGUUGUUCCCACCCACCCAGAUUUUUGUUUGGGUACAAGAGGGGGGAUAACCCCCUUAUCCCCUCCUUUAAUCCCGAACCAAACGGGGUGUUAGGUAUCGUUUGGUUCGGGGAUAAGUAAAAAGUGGCUAUUCCAGGGAUAGGUAUAAAUUGAAAUAUAAGCAGUGAUUAGAUCAAUUUUGCAUUUGAAUGAAAAUUAGGUUAUUCCUGAGAAUAAAAAAAAUAGCGUUUGGUUAGAUUAGAUGGAAUAAGAAGUGUAGUGAGUUUUAAUAAAUAAAAAAUAAUGAUAUUAUAUACCUACCUAUUAUAUUUGAAUUUAAAUUUUUAAUUUUUAAAUUUAUUUUAAAUUUUAAAAUUUUAACUUUGAUAUUUCAAAUUUUGAAAUCUCAAAUUUUAAAAUCAAAAUUUUAAAUUUUAAAUUUUAAAUCUCAAACUUUAAAUUUAAGAUCAAAUUUAAAUUUAAAAAAUAUAAAAUAUCAAAUUUUAAAUUUCAAAAUUUUAAAAUAUCAAAAUUUAGAAUUUAAAAUUUAAAAUUCUAAACUUUAAUUUUGAGAUUACAAAUUAUAAAUUUUAAAAAUUUAAAUUUUAAAUUUUUAAAUUUUUAAAUAAGAAUAGGGAUGGGAACAAUUAAUAAAAAUAAUUUAUUAUAAUAAAUUUAUAAAGUUUUUUAAAAUUCUACUUAAACUUAAAUUUAAUAAAUAUAAUUUAUUAUAAUAUUUAAAUAUAAAUAAUAUUUAUUAAUAUAGUACAAUUAAUAAAUUUAUAAUAAAAAAAUAUAUUAUAAUAUAUAACAUAUUAUAUUUAUAUAAUUUAGUGUUAAUUUAAUUUAUAAUUUUAAUUAAGUUUGAAAUUAAGCAUUGGAAUAGCAAAUUUUUUGCUAUUCCGGGAUAACUGGGAAUAGUAAGGUUUGACCGGAAUAAAAUAUUCCGAUAAAAAAUCGCCCCGUUUGGCGGAACCCCGCUUAUUCUCCUAAUCGAACGAUGCCUUAAUCUCGUA